UAACGCGUGAGUAACCUGCCUUCAAGAGGGGGAGUAACAUUCUGAAAAGAAUGCUAAUACCGCAUGACAUAUCGGAACCACAUGGUUUUGUAUAUCAAAGAUUUUAUCGCUUGAAGAUGGACUCGCGUCCGAUUAGUUAGUUGGUGAGGUAACGGCUCACCAAGACCGCGAUCGGUAGCCGGACUGAGAGGUUGAACGGCCACAUUGGGACUGAGACACGGCCCAGACUCCUACGGGAGGCAGCAUG
rnacentral:rRNA from 1 species